UGUCCCUUCGGGGACAUCCGAUAAAAUUGGAACGAUACAGAGAAGAUUAGCAUGGCCCCUGCGCAAGGAUGACACGCACAAAUCGAGAAAUGGUCCAAAUUUUUUUUAAUCCAAAACCUUACUUCUCGAUUGGAGCUCUGCUUUGUUGGUGUCUGUCUUGUUUUUGUUCAAACGCCUGUGCUGCAACAUUUCUUAGCUAUUGCCAACAGCAAGGGAGUAGAGUUCCAUUCGAGAGGUCUGUUUUUUUCCUUCCUUUUAUUGAAUUCUUGUCAUUUUCGUGUUGGAUUUUUUUGUUUGAUUGUUCUAAAAUUGGUUAAAACAGUUCGUAGUAAGUGAUAUUUCAAUUGGCUGUUAAUAGAUGUUGCCAAUAAUUCUUAUUCUUCUUCUUUAAUGUGAUUUUUGUUUCUUGGGAUUUAUGUUCUUCCACAUGAAUGCGGGAAUAGAGGUUUGUCCUGGCUUGGAAAUUUAUCAAAUUGUAUUAGGAUCUUUUGCUUGCUAAACAUUGUUUGGAUGGUUUCUAUGUUCAUCCACAUGAAUGUGGUACUUUGCUUUCAUGUCAAUCUAUAAGUAAAGAAAUCCAAUUCUUACCCACCUUGUCUUCCUUCAUUGGUUAAAGAAAAAUAAAUGAAAUUCUAAACUUAGUGAGUGGAUACGCCAGAGUGGUUUUGAAAAACUUGCGUUUAGUUUGCGAAGAUUUUAAGGGAACUCAGAAUUUUAGUAUAAUUUGGAUGUAGGGGAACUCAGAUGCAUAAGGCAAUUACUUCUUAAAAAGAUUCCUAUGUAAUUUAUGCAAAGAAAGCAAGUACCCAAACACUAGGCUUUUAUGAAUUCAGAUCUAAGCUAGAAGUGUAGAUUAAUCAACUUUUCUGUUAGUUAGUUUGUGAGUUUGUGGUUCUUUAAAAAGCAAUUUUAGCAACUCAAUCAUCAAAAAUCAAUAGUGAUACAAGAAAAAGAAAAGCAAAAGCAAACUAUGGGAAUUUCUUCCAUGAAGUAAUUUGUUGAUUGGUUUCUUCAUGUAUUUUUAAGAGUGUGAGAAGUGAAAGUUUCAUGUUUCUAUUCCCAUCCAUAAGCACAGUUGUAAGUCUUAGCAGCUUAGGCCAUGGCAUGUUUGAUAGCAUCUUAGCUUUGGGGCUUGACCAAUCUAGGCCUGAUCACAAGUCAGAAUCCACUUGUGAGCCUAAUGAGAUGAUGUAAUCUAUCAGAUUGGAAUUGAACUUAGUCCCAUAUUGUUUAGUUAUGCAUAAUUGUAAAGCCUUGUAUAAAACAGAAACAAGAGGUUGUCCAGUAUGGCCCCUGCGUAAGGAUGACUGGCACAAAUCCAGAAAUGGUCCAAAUUUUGUUUUUAAACCUUUCUGAAGCUUUGUAACAAUGGUUUCUCUCUCUGAUUGCACAUUUUGCCUUGGAUGAUUUCUUAGCUGCUAGGAUCAGCACUGGAGAUUGCAUUCAAAAUUUCUUAGCUAUUGGUUUCUUUUUUUUUUUUCCUUUAUUAAAUGAUUGCAGUAUGACAUACUGCAGUAGGAUUUUGUGCUCCAAAAUGGUUUAGCAGCUCUAGUAUGAAUCUACUAUUCAGGACUGAAGCUCUUUGCCAUUCUGCAAAUUUAUGAAGGCUUUGUCUGUGAUUUAUUUAUUUAUUCAUUUAUUUUUAUUUUACUCUCGCUUUGCUUGCAAGAUAUUUUUCAGAUAACUCCUGAGUGGUUUUUGUUGAUAAUUAAUUAUCCAGAAAAUCAAGCACCUGGAGUUUUUUUAUUGGGUGUAAGGGGACCUAGAUGCACAAGGCCAAUUUCUUCUUACAAGUAACAUGCUUCCUAUAUAAUUUAAUACAAAUACAGAAAGUAUCCUAGUUUAGACUGUUAUGAAUUGAGAUCUAAGCUAAUAGAGCAGCUUUAACUUCAUGUUUAAGCACAGUUGUAAGUACUAGGAGCCUAGCCAACCCAUUGCAAGUUUGAUAAUGUCUUAUUAUUGGAUCUUGACCAAUCUAGGCUUGACAAGUCAGAAUCCACUUGUGGGCCUGAUGAGAUGAUGUAAUCCAUCCAUGUUGUAAAGUCAUCUAGUUGGAAUUGAACUUAGUCCCACAUCGUUUAGUUAUGUAAAGUUGAAAGCCUUUAUAAAAAUAAAACAGAAAUAAAUGGUUGUCCCUUCGGGGACAUCCGAUAAAAUUUGAAUGAUACAAAGAAGAUUAGCAUGGCCCCUGCGCAAGGAUGACACGCACAAAUCGCAAAAUGGUCCAAAUUUUUUUUUAAUCCUCCAGAUUUUUGUACCCUAGCCUUUGCUGAUUUUCAAAUGGUUUCUCUUCUGAUUUUACAUUUUUCCCUGCAAAAUUUAUUGGCAUUAAGAUCAAUACUGGACAUCAAAUCCAAAAAUUCUGUUGUUAUUUCCUUUCCUUUAUUAAAUUCUUGUUAUAUUUCACAGUGCAAUUAGGAUUUUGUUCUCCAAAAUGGUUUAGGAGCUCUAAUAUGAAUCUAUGAUUGAAGCUCUCUAUAUGCAAAUUUAUUAAUGCUUUGAGUGUCUUUGAUUUUUUUUUUACAACCUUUCUGUAGCUUUGUAACAAUGGUUUCUCUCUCUGGUUUCACCUUUUUGCCUUGCAAAAUUUCUACUACGCUCAGCACGGGAGAUUGCACUCAAAAGUUCUAUUGGUUUCUCUUUUUCCUUUAUUAAAUUUUUGCAGUAUUUCAUGCUGCAAUUAAAAUUUUGUGCCCAAAAAUGGUUUAGCAGCUCUAAUAUGAAUCCAGGGGAGUAAGGAGCAGUGAGUUGGCGCUUGAUGCCGUGCAACUCGCAGAAAUGUAUACUUGCCUCCGUGGUCUGUUCUAAACGUUUUGAGCUUACAUUCGGACUGGACUUCAAUAUGAGCUUUCACUUUCUUGAAAGCACUAAAAACCUCAUCUUUUCUUUUGAGCAUUUCAAUCCAUAUAUAAUGACUGUAAUCAUCCACGAGCAAGAGAAAAUACUUGUUUCUGCCGCAUAUGGUAGGUGAUGACGGCCCGCCCAAGUCACCAAAAACGAGUUCCAGAGAUUUGGUUGCUUGAUACUCUCCUACUUUCAGGAAACUCGUGCGAUGCUGCUUAUUGAUCACACAUUGUUCACAGACGUGCUUCACUGUUUCUAUCUCCGGUAAACCUUUCACCAUGCUUUCUUGUGCGAGCUUGCGUAAAGCUAGAUAGUUGAGGUGCCUAUAGCGUGCGUGCCAUAAGCAAGGCUUUUCAGACAACCUUGUCAGGUGGCACUCCAAUUUUGCUUGUGUCAUUCUCAUCGUGUAAAGGCGAUUUUCCGCUCUAUACACCUUGGCUAUCAACCUGUCCUUUGCGUCAUAUUCUCUCAGAAUUCCUCCUUUCACCACCAAUUUUGUUCCUGAUUCGUCGAGUUGACCGAGGCUUAUAAUAUUGGAUCUUAAUCAAGAAAUGUAGUACACGUUUGUUAGUUUGAAAUGAUCUCCGUUCUUGCACCGAAACACUGAAGUGCCUCGGCCUUCUACCUUGACGACUGAACCAUCACCGAACCUGACAUUCCCUUUCAUUGAUUCAUCGAGAUUGGUUAAGGCUAGCUUGUUACCUGUCAUAUGGUUGUUUGCCCCCGUAUCAUAAGCUCGUUCGUGCCCUACCUGUUACGUCGAUAGUUUGUUAAUAAGCACGUACCCACAUACUCUGAAUAUUUUGAAUUGUUCAGUGUUUGUUUCCUUCAACUCGAGUCUUGCGCAAUGUGGCUUCAAGCUCGGAUUAAGUUUCAUUUUUCAGUUUGUAAUGGUUGUUACAUUGAUUCAAGUAUAAAUAAGAACAAAAGGCCGAUCAAGAUUAUCGGUUAAGUUUGAAAAAUCUGAGCAAAAAACCUAAUACAAAAAUACUGCAGAAACUCAAAGUACACUGUUUGGCUCACACCCUCGGGAGUUCGUUUUUAGAGUCUACACAGUUCUCAUAAAGUCUGUCCUUUCAGCCAUUUCCACUUACACUAUGUCAAUUCUUAAGCAUCCCAGGAGUUUUUGUGAAAAGCUAAAUAGCAUGCUCUCAAGCUUCUGGUGGGGAAGUGGUGAAGACUCGAGAAAAUGCAUUAGAUUAGUUAGAAAAAAGCUUCCACUCCUAAAGCUAAAGGCGGCAUGGGUUUCAAGGAUUUCAAUCUUUUUAAUCUCGCUUGUCUUGGGAAAUAGUAUUGGAGACUUAUUCAGAAUCCGACAGCGGUUUGGGCUUGACUCAUCAAAGGUCUUUAUUUUCCAAGUACAGAUCUUUGGCAAGCUUCUCAUUCUAGAGCAGGCUCAGGGUAAACUUGUGAUUUUAAAUACGUUAUUAACUUUCUAAUUAUAUCCCUGAGCAGACAAGUUUUAAUUGCGACUGUGUAUUGGUUUAUUUGGAAAGAAAGGAACAAGGCAAUCUUUAACCACAUGCCUCCAGAUCCUAUCUUUGUGGCUUGCAAGACCCUUUCUAGUUUUCAAGAGCUAGAGUUUGUAAGAGACAUAAGCCGUUCAGUAGUGUUGUUCAUAAUUCUGGUGUUUCUGUUUGGCAAGCUCCACCUUUGGGAAUGUUAAAGUUCAAUUCUGAUGCUGCUUGGAAAUCUUAUUCUAUGCUUGCUUCUAUUGCUAUUGUGGUUCGGAACUGUUAUGGUAGAAGUUUAUAUGGUAGAAUUGGUAAGUGGUUGUUGCCGAGUCUCCUGUUGUGGUAGAAGCUUUAGGGGUCCUAGAGGCUAUGAAACUUGCUUUAGAGAUGGGAGCUAAGAAUGUUUUUAUGGAAAUAGAUUCAAAAUUGGUACAUUCGGCUGUCAUUUAAAAUUGUUUUUAUGGAAAUAGAGGCUAGCAACCUGCUGAAGCUGCUGUCCAAGGGACACAGCACAUACUGAAUCUGCCGGGCUUUUUGCAAAAUAAAGUUAAAAAAAAAAAAUAUUUCUUAAAUCCUGGUGCGCGAAAAAAUAUUUCUUAAACCAAGGUGAAUCGGUCUUCUACCGCAUUUUAUAAGUGCGGUAUUUUAUAAGUGCGGUAAGCUUUACCGCAUUUAUAAAAUGCGGUAGAGAGUCAUUGAAACAAAAUUAUAAUUUUUUUAAAUAAAAAAAAUUCUACCGCACUUUUAAAGUGCGGUAGAAUUUUUAAUAUAUUAUUUUUUAAUAAUUAAAAAUAUAUUGGCAGAGAGGGAGGGCAGAGAAAAAGUCCUCUACCGCACGAGAAUAUCAAAAAGUUAAAUUAUUUUAAUUUAUUUUAAUUUUAAAAAAAAUAAAAAUUAUACAUAAUUUUUAAUUAUUUAAUUUAUUUUUUUAUAAAAUAAAUAGAAACAUUUAUAUUUUAUAUUUUAAGUUGAUUGUUGUUCAGAAAAAGAACACUACCGCACUUUUAAAGUGCGGUAGAAGAGAGAGAAUAUAAAAAAGUUAAAUUAUUUUAAUUUAUUUUAAUUUUAAAAAAAUAAAAAUUAUGUAUAAUUUUUUAAUUAUUUAAUUUAUUUUCUCAUAAAAUAAAUAAAAAUAUUUAUAUUUUAAAUUGAUCAAAAUAUAUUUUUUAUUUUAUUAGUUGAAAUAUAUAUAUAUAUAUAUUUUAAUAAAUAAUUAUUAAUUAUUAUAUUUUUCAUUAUUAUAAUACCGCACUUUUAAAGNNNNNNNNNNNNNNNNNNNNNNNNNNNNNNNNNNNNNNNNNNNNNNNNNNNNNNNNNNNNNNNNNNNNNNNNNNNNNNNNNNNNNNNNNNNNNNNNNNNNNNNNNNNNNNNNNNNNNNNNNNNNNNNNNNNNNNNNNNNNNNNNNNNNNNNNNNNNNNNNNNNNNNNNNNNNNNNNNNNNNNNNNNNNNNNNNNNNNNNNNNNNNNNNNNNNNNNNNNNNNNNNNNNNNNNNNNNNNNNNNNNNNNNNNNNNNNNNNNNNNNNNNNNNCUUCCCUGCUCCCCAGCUCCCAUCUUCUUCCCGCUCCCCAGCUCCCCAUCUUCCCUGCUCUCCAUCUUCUUCCCGCUCCCCAUCUUCUUCCCUGCCCCUUCUUCCCUGCUCCACCUCCCCUCCCUGCUCCAUAUUUCCUUUUUUUCCAAGUUUCGCUCCUUCUUUUUUUUUUUAAAUUUUAUAUAUAAAUAAAUAAUUAUAAUUAAUAUAAUAUAUUUAAUAUAAAAUAGAUAAUAUGAUGAAUUCUUCAUUUUACGUAUUACCGCACUUUUAAAGUGCGGUAAUACAUAAAUUAAAUUAUUAAUUUAAUUAUUAAAAAUUAUAAAAAUUUUUAAUUAUUAUAAAAUUUAAUAUUCUACCGCACUUUUAGUGCGGUAGAAUUUUUAAUAUAUUUUUUUAAUAUUUAAAAAAUCUACCGCACUUUAUCAGUGCGUUAGAAUUUUUUUAUUUAAAAAAAUUAUAAUUUUGAUUUAACUGCUCUCUACCGCAUUUUAUAAGUGCGGUAAAGCUUACCGCACUUAUAAAAUGCGGUAAAGGACUGAUUCACCCUGUUCUGAGAAAUAUUUUCUCACGGAUCAGGGUUUAAGAAAUAUUUUUUUUUUUUAACUUUAUUUUACAAAAAGCCCGAAUCUACCAUAACAAAACCUGAAGUUGCUGUUCAAACAGAACCAGCAACAUACACUGUUAAAACAGAACCGAAUCAGCAACCGAAGAAAUAGCACAGAACAUUGCGGUGUUUGCCCAAACAGCCUCUGGGAUGGCUCUCUUUCAUGGCGAUGAGGAUAAUUUGUUUAAAAAAUUUGCUUUCAAGAUCUAUCAUUAUUUUUGUUUAUUUAAUAUUUUAUAAUAUCAUCAACUAACAAAAUAAUUAUUCUAAUAAAAAGUAAUAUGCCCUUUAAAUUUAAUUUAGAAUUUUUUAAAAGAAAAUACUUAUAAUUUUUAUGUAUGUCUUAAAAAUUUUGAUACAGCUAUUAGUGAUAUAGUAAUAAUAGCUAUAGUAAUAAGAGGAAAAAGAUAUCAAUUUAUAAAAUUUCUGCAGCCACACAUGUAGAAUUAUUCUUAAUUCAUCAUAAGCAUGAAUAUUAUAUGAAUCAUAAACAUAAAAUUCAUCUAACACCCUAAUAAUAAAUCUUGAAUAAAUUACAUUUCACAAAUAUAGAAAAAUAUAUUUGAUGUAAAAUUAAUUGAUCCUUCUUAAUUCAAUAAAAGAGAGCUACGAAUUUGAAUAAAUUAAUUUUUCUUUUGACCCUUUUAAUUUUAUAUAAUCUUUAGUGAUGGAGACUUUCUAAUAGACAUUAUCUUAAUAUCUGGAAUGAAAACUUUGUUUGCCUUUGAGAAAGACGAAAAAGAAAGAAAAAUUUUAAAAGCAGUAGAAAAAAAAAGAGUAAAUUUAUGAUCUUGGUGUGUGCGUAUUAUGUAUACUAUGAAAAAUAAAAUACACAACUUUGGUUAUUUAAAUCAUUCGCUAAAUGGAUUAAACGUUAUUGUUUUUCAGUUGAAUUAUUUGAAAUGCUGAAGAGCCAUCUGUUAUUUUAUAAAAUUUACAAAUUUUAAAUUUUUUAUUAAAUGUUAUACUCUGAAUUAAUUUUUUACUUUCAAUCUUAUAAUUUUUUUAUCCCUUUUACAUAUAUUAAAAAAAAAAAAUUUUAUUCACUUUCUAAUUAUAUCUAUUUUAAAUAUAUUAAUAAAAUAUUUUAAAUAUUCACUUAAACUCUAUUUAUUUAUAAAAAAUAACUUGUAUUUUAAAGAUUUCCAAAACAUAAUACUAUUAUGAUCAUGGUAUUUUAAAUUAUGUAUCAAUACUUAAAAAUUUCUAUUUGGAUGAUUUUUAUUUUUAUUAUUAUAUUUUAAUAUUUAAAUUUUAUUUGUUUCAUAAAAAAUAUUUUUUAUAUUUUUUGGUGUUUGAAGCAUUCAAAAAAUUUAGUUAAUAAAAAUUAUUGUUCUGAUUAAAUAAAAAAAUUAAAUAUUUUAAAGAAAAUAACUUAAAAUAAAAGUUAUUUCCGAACAUUUGAUAAAAAUAUCAAAUUCUAUUUAUACAAAUUUUUAAUAAAUUUUAAUUUUAAAUUUUUACAUUUAAAUUAAUAUUAAAUAAUAAAAAAAAUAUCUCAAUACUUUUUAUAAAAAAUAUUUUUUAAAUAUAAAUUAUUUUCUGCAAAUAAAUAGAGAUUUAUAAUUAAAAGAAUUUUCAUUUAUAUUAUACACGUUGGAAAAAGAAGCAAGCAAUUUGAUGGACCGAAAAAUAAUCUAGACCGAUGUUGGGCCGAAAAUGUAUUUGAUUUUGGGCAUGAAAGCCCAUUAAAUGUCCAUCAAAUACAUUAGGUAAAAUCACAAGUUUGCCUGCUCAGGGUUUGCGUUUCGAUUUCACUCCAUCCUCAAACAGAUCAUACACAUUACACGCAGUACACACCGUAUUCUCUAUUCCUUGUGAUGAAUCUUGAUGCGUUGGAUUCAUCUGAUGAUCAUGGGAUCUCUUUUGUCAACGGUUAAAACUUAUUGUCACUGUACCAAUAACCAGACUCUUCCUACUCAAGGACACACGCAAUCAUCUUGAACAAUUGAUCAAUUGCCCGCCCAUAUUCACCUAUCGAGUGGGGCCACCUUAUAUUACCACAGACAGGUGUCGCACUUCCAAGCAUGAUCUACAGGUCACUGACCCUUGGUUGAGACACAUCAUCAGUGGAGGGCCCACGCGUAUGGUGUUAUCAAGGUGGCUUAAGAUGGCCAGAUAGUCAGGUGGUCUGGUUGAAAUCAAACUAAAAUCUAAACCCACAUCGUUCAUUGAGUUCAUUAUAAUAUUCUUUAUAAUGCGAAGCGAAAUGUGCAACGCUUGUCCCUUCGGGGACAUCCGAUAAAAUUGGAACGAUACAGAGAAGAUUAGCAUGGCCCCUGCGCAAGGAUGACACGCACAAAUCGAGAAAUGGUCCAAAUUUUUUUUUGAUCCAAAACCUUCUCGAUUGGCAGCUCUGCUUUUUUCGUGUCUCUCUGGUUUUUGUUCAAACACCUGUGCUGCAACAUUUCUUAGCUAUUGCCAACAGCAAGGGAGUAGAGUUCCAUUCGAGAGGUCUGUUUUUUUUUCCUUCCUUUUAUUGAAUUCUUGUCAUUUUCGUGUUGGAUUUUUUUGUUUGAUUGUUCUAAAAUUGGUUAAAACAGUUCGUAGUAAGUGAUAUUUCAAUUGGCUGUUAAUAGAUGUUGCCAAUAAUUCUUAUUCUUCUUCUUUAAUGUGAUUUUUUUUCUUGGGAUUUAUGUUCUUCCACAUGAAUGCGGGAAUAGAGGUUUGUCCUGGCUUGGAAAUUUAUCAAAUUGCAUUAGGAUCCUUGUGCUUGCUAAACAUUGUUUGGAUGGUUUCUAUGUUCAUCCACAUGAAUGUGG
rnacentral:lncRNA from 1 species